CCUACGGGAGGCAGCAGUGGGGAAUCUUGCGCAAUGGGCGAAAGCCUGACGCAGCAACGCCGCGUGGGUGAUGAAGGUCUUCGGAUUGUAAAACCCUGUCGUUAGGGACGAAGACAUGAAUCCUAAUACGAUUCAUGUUUGACGGUACCUAGAAAGGAAGCCCCGGCUAACUCUGUGCCAGCAGCCGCGGUAAUACAGAGGGGGCAAGCGUUAUUCGGAAUUAUUGGGCGUAAAGGGUGCGUAGGCGGUUUUCUAAGUCAGAUGUGUAAUCCCCGAGCUCAACUUGGGAACUGCAUCUGAAACUGGGAGACUAGAGUACUGGAGAGGAUGGUGGAAUUCCACGUGUAGCGGUAAAAUGCGUAGAGAUGUGGAGGAACACCAGUGGCGAAGGCGGCCAUCUGGACAGUAACUGACGCUGAAGCACGAAAGUGUGGGUAGCAAACAGGAUUAGAUACCCUGGUAGUCCACACCGUAAACGAUGAACACUUGGUGUAGUGGGAGUUGACCCCCACUGUGCCGUAGCUAACGCGAUAAGUGUUCCGCCUGGGGGAGGUACGGUCGCGAGCGUGAACGACGAAAGAAGUAGUAGACGGCGAGAGACGACGACGACGGACGACGACGGAGGGGAGGAGG
rnacentral:rRNA from 1 species